UCCAGCCAUUUCCACCCUCUGGCAGGGAAACUUCUCCUCCUCCAACCCUCUCCACAUCCUGUCUACACCCUCAAUGAUCGUGCCGACUCUCUUCCAAGCCCAACUUCAUCGAGCUCUCCCCACCGUCUCCAGCAUCCGGAUCUGGCACCAACGCACCUUCUUCCACCCGCUUACCGCAUCGCACCCGCCAGUAGUAAGUGAGAUGGUCGGAGGGGCAUGAAUAUUCAUGGAGUGGAGCAGUUGGGUGAUAAAGAAGACCAAGGUCAUUGCCGACCACAGCUUCAUCCCCCUCAUCAUCGUUAUUGGGAUUAACUCCAAGCCCAAACCUCAUCUCUCUCAGCUCCUUAGCCGCAUCUGAGCCGCCAAUCCUUUCGAUUCCAAUUCCGAAUUCUCUCCUCAGUGGGCACCUCUACAUGCCCAUACAUUGCUGUUGGUUUGCUUACACCCCGUCUUCAAUUGCAACAAGUUCUAUGUCGUUAAUUGAACCCAAAUCUGGAGACAGUAUUGUUUCAAAAUAGUGCACUGUUUAUUGCCUACCAACUGUAUGAUCAUUUGCCCAUACAUCAUCAUAAGUUGAGAUGCCAUUCAAGCCUACUCAUAUUCUUAUGCAGGAUUUUACUGGUGUUCCAGCUGUUGUUGGCCUUGCUUGCAUGUGUGAUGCUAUGAACAAGCUUGGAAGUGAUUCUAAUAAGAUCAAUCCAUUGGCACAUCCCCAACAUCCAGGCUGGUCUUGUUUGUCCCUCUGCUCUAUCUAAUGUUUUAGCUAAUUCGCUCUAUAAAUUCUAUGAUCCUAAUAACCUUGGAUUCAGAAAUUAUCAGAAUGGGAUGGACACUGCUUCUGGUUUCUCCUAUGUCAGCUUUCACAGUGCCUUGGUUGCAGACAAGUUUCAAUGUCUUAUUCCAACGCCCAUCUUUCAAGUGUUAUGCAGCAAAUUCUUAGUUAGCUUAGCAGCUUCAUGACACACUUGUUCGAUAGUCCAACUAAAUCCUUCCUUUAGCUUUUACUUCCACAUCUUCUAUUUGGUUAUGCUGUUUGCAACAGGUGUAUUCUCAUUUGCAAUAUAAGGUUGCUGUUUUCCUUAUUUCUCACAUCGCCUGCAACAACAAAUUUAAGAAGUUUUCUGCACCUUUGUUACUUGCAUUGUUAUGAUGUAUGUCUUGGGAUCUCCAAUAGCUUGCUCUCAGUACUUAUCCAUGGCUCUGUUUCUCCAGCAACUAUCGAUGUAUGAUGUUCACAACAUCUGUUAUAUCUAUUAUAUCUGUUGGUAGGCCUGCACUAUGUUUAAGUUCUCUAACUGUAAUGUUGUUGUCACUGUAUAUUUCUUAUCUUUGGCAAUGAUCCUUGGACUUCCUCCUAUUUUUGGUGUUCUUGCUUGGGUUUAUCUUUUCCAAGUUAAUGUAUAUAGGGUUCUGUUGUUCUAUUGUAUUUAUAUUGGGUUAAGUUCUUGCUAUUGUAUUUAUGUGUCUGAACAUGAUAAGUUGUUACUUUUCUUCCAACUGAUAAAGCUUGUCUGCUUCUAUUUCACUCAGUACAGGUAGAUGUUGCUAGGUCAGAGAAUGCUUUUCAGGCAAGCAAGGAACUUAAAUUCCAAAGGAACAAAAAGAGAUUCAGCUUUCUUAAAUGGGGAUCUACUGCUUUUCAUAAUAUUUUUAUUUUUCCUCCAAGUUCUGGUAUCAUACAUUGGGUAUCAGAGUUCUAAAUUAUCGUAAAAGCUGUUACAUGCUUUCCCCCUUGCAUUGAAUUUAUUUUGUAUUAACUUCCACUGAUAUGGUUAGUAUCAUUAAUGAGGAUCACCAUAAUCUUCUAAUAGUUUUAUCUGACUAUGCAGUGAAAAUAUCUCAGGUUAAUUUAGAAUAUCUUGGUCAAGUUGUCUUCAACACCGAUGGCAUUCUAUAACCUAAUAGUGUGGUUGGGACUGAUUUGGACACAACUAUUAUUGAUGGAUUAAGAGUCACAGGCUGGGGAGUUGGAGAUGGUACCUGCUUAGGCAUCGGAUGAAUUGCUUUGGGCUUUAGUUUUUUUCUUUUUUAUAUUUUUGUAUAGAUUCCAAUGAAUUGUAACAAAUACUUUUGCUUUAUCACUUUUGUGGAGUGUUUGUACUUUUGCUUUAAGAAUGUAAUUUACAUUUUAAAUUUGGU